rnacentral:rRNA from 1 species
UACGAAGGGUGCAAGCGUUAAUCGGAAUUACUGGGCGUAAAGGGUGCGUAGGCGGUUCGUUAAGUCUGUCGUGAAAUCCCCGGGCUCAACCUGGGAAUGGCGAUGGAUACUGGCGAGCUAGAGUGUGUCAAAGGAUGGUGGAAUUCCCGGUGUAGCGGUGAAAUGCGUAGAGAUCGGGAGGAACAUCAGUGGCGAAGGCGGCCAUCUGGGACAACACUGACGCUGAAGCACGAAAGCGUGGGGAGCAAAUAGG